UUACCGGGGAAUGAUUGCAGCGUCGAGGCCGCCAGCGCGCCAGCCGUGCUAUUGGGGGAUGGAAACCACCUUAUAGAGUCUCUCCUCGGUCCUCGAUGCGAGCGGAUUGUCACAUGCUCCUGCCACGGCAGAGCGCGUUUCCUCUUCUUCGCUCGCACUUCCUCCGUUCGAUUUUGCGGUGGAGGACUUUCUUCGUGGUGUGAGGCACCGAGAGACAUGGCGGUCGGCGCGGACAAAAAAAGUAGCGAUCGGAAGAAAGUCACGAAGAGCUCUCGGGACCGCACGUUUCCGGAACACCCGCGCCAGCGCGUAUCGCGACGCUUCUUUUCGAGAGUGAACCGUUUGUUCCUGUCCUCUCGCUGUUCCCCGCCGACUUCCCGUGAAUUCUUCGUGGCGUGAGUGUAUCGUACGCGAUGGAAGAUGGCGGCCGACCACGUGUGUUGUUCCGGCAGAGGUGCGACGCAGUGAAGUUUUCAUGCAGUUUAGUGAUCGUUUUCCUUCUUUUUUCUUUUCCCUGUCGAAUGAUCGAUCAGAGAUGAAGAGUUCCGCUCGGCGGAACUCUUCCGGGAGGCUGAAGGGACGGUGACGGGCUGACGGGCACGUGUUCCGGCCGAGCGUCAACGUCACUUUCCAUCGCGCAGGAAUCAGCGGCCGCGUUUAAUGAUAGACAUCACAUCGCACGGACGUAAGGUGGCGGCGGCUACACAUGGCGUUCGAGUCCAUGAGUGGAGCAUGAGAGGAACUGAAAGGAGCAAUAUCGGGCAAUAUCGUAAACGCAUUUUCCAACGGAGAGAACGCGCGCGGUUGCUGCUUGCUGAUUACGUAAAGGCGCCGUGAUCGUCGACGAAUAUCUUUUCAUCGGAGGACUUCUCUCGUGUAUCGCAAAUUGGACGGGGAGAAGAAUUAUCUAUCGCCAGCUGUCGCAAGUAUUAUUGGCGUCGCGCCGAGCCGCGCAAAACUUGGAAACCCAGCCAGACUGCAGCGUUUACGACUUGAGAGUCGGACAAUAAUUGUCGCUUGAGAACCGAUCGUUUGUGGAUACCUGCGAAUUUAUGCCGUCUGCCCGACUGCGAAGGACAUCCCUCGGCUCGGCGGAACAACUCUGAGAAACCAUUUCGCAAGAACUACGCGGGAGAGAUUCGCCGGGAAGGUGCAACACGAGACAAAAAGAAAAGGACAGGAUGGAAACCUUGAACCAAUCGUAAAUGGUGGCGGAGUGAAAGCGGUCACUACGGUUUUCCCAGAAGAGCGCAAGUCACGAAAAAAUCCAGUUGAAGCUCGCUCCUUUUGCGAUAAAUAAACAGACCUUCGGCAGUCAGGUAGCGAUCUGUAUUCACGAAGAGUGAAGAGCGUAAUCUCACGUUAUCUAAUCGUUUGACUAGAUAAAUAUAGUAGUCCCUUCGUCUCUUGCAUCAUCUCUCGUUUGCGAAUAUUUUACCUUUCGUCAUACCAGCGUCAUUUUUGCAAGACCUGUUUAGGUUAACUCUUCUGUCUCAUCGUGAGUGCAAACUAUCUAAAUAGAAAGGAGAAAAAUCGGUCGCAUGAGACGCUUCGAAGGGAAACUGCAGACAACACGUGACGCUUUCGUUCGAGACGAGAUAACACGGUGACACUAUGCGGACAAUACUCCGUGACUCGCACGAUUAUACACGAGCACAGCUUAAUCACCGUAAUAGGGCGAGCAUAAUGGCUGAUACGAUCUGUAUUUGCUUGUUAGAUUCGAGCUAUACCUUCCUCUCUCCCUCAGCCACGUACGGAAGAACGUGCUUCGUCUUGUUUAUCCGUGUGCAAAUAAAAAUUACGCUAUGUGUUUGCUUUGCGCGCUUAAAUAGCGAUCUUGUGUGAACGUUUUUGUACCAUGAUACGUUACAACAAUGAAGCGACAUGAAUUAAACGCUAUAUUUAGCA
rnacentral:lncRNA from 1 species